UAUUAACACCAAACUUUAUAUCAAUUUAUUGUUUUUGUCUCAUGUCUUUCUCACUAGUUUGUCUUGUUUUGGAGGUUUUUCAUCACAUAGUUUUCAUUUUCCACUCAUUUAAAGGUAAAUUUAUUAAUUUUAGAUAUGUAUUUUUGUAUGUUUUAUAAAGGUAGAUCUAUCUAUCAUUCCACUCAUUUUCUCUGUUUAAGUCAUUUGAACGUUUUUAGAGAUGCAGGUUUUUCAGAUCUGGAUUUGGAUAUGCAUGUUCAGAUCUGGAAGACUUCAGGGCUAGAAGACUUCCAGACGACUUCCAGACGACUUCCAGACGACUUCCAUAAUAGAUCUGAGCGUUCUGGUAAGUUCUUAUGUCUGAUGGAGUCUUCUCCCAGGUCUCCCUUUCAUAAUAGAUCUGAGCGUUCUGAUAAGUUCUUACGUCUGAUUUUUCUUCAUUUGGCAACCUCCUGUUGCAUAAAAUUCAUACAUUUUUUCCUAACUAAAAAUCUCCAAACCCACUCUAAUCUCUUUGACUUGAAAACACUAAACUUUAUAUAAAUUUUUCAUUUUUGUCUCAUGUCUUUCUCACUAAUCUAUUUUUUUGUUGCAGGUUUUAAUCAGAUGGUUCUCAUCUUCCACUUGGAUAUGUACUUUGUGUGUUUUAUAAAUGUAUGUCUAUUUAAUUUUCCACUAAUUUCCCUGUUUAUAAGCCACUUGAAUGUUUUUUAAUAUGAUAUGCAAGAUUUUCAGAUUUGCGUUUGAUAUACAUGUUUCUCAGAUCUGGAUCAGACUUUGGAAGACCUAUGGGAAGUUUUCUCGGAAGUCUUCUAAAAUAUAAUGCACUAGAAGACUUCUUCUAGACGACUUCCAGAAAGUCUUCUGACGGGUCUUCUUCCAUAUCAAGUGGAGUCUAAGCUUGUCUUUGUAGAGCCAUCUUGUUAAAUCAACAGAUCCACCAUAACUUUUUUUCACGGUUAAAAUUGAUACUUCAUCUUUUUUUUGAAUGAAUGUAAAUAAUAUUCAAACAAAAAAGUUUAUCUUUUUCAAACAUCAUUCAGGCUAAUCUCAACCGUGAUCCGCAAAACCCUAUUACGGCGUCAAAAUGGUGAAUAUUCACCAAAUUCUCAUCAACAAACUAUCUGACUUGGAGUGUGCAAAUCACAUCUCUUCUCAGAGGUUAUGAUCUUGUCAAGUUCAUGGACAAAACUAUCAUUCCUCCUCCUGGGACAAUCAAUGUCAACGAUGUUCUCACUCCAAAUCGUGCUCUCAUGGCCUGAUAGCGACAGAACAAUCUUCUAUUCAACGGUCUCAUGGGUGCUAUUGAGACUCCGAUUCAAACACUUAUCGCUACAUCCAGGUCAACUCUUGAGGCUUAGAACACUCUAUCUGCUACGUAUGGCAAACCAACACGGGGGCGAAGAAGUAUGGAGGUUUUUGUGAGGAGAGACUGUUUCAUGAAACUGAACAUGGAGAGAGAUGAAGAUUUUGGUGGAGGAAGGAUCAAGACAGAGGUAGGCACUCUGAGUUUGGGAGUAAACUAAGAAGAUGCAGGGAGUGGAGCGAGGUUCAAGUUUUUGUUGAUGUCAUUGUCGUCACAGGAAACAACUCUGCAGCGGUCGAGAAAUUCACACAACGCCUAAGCAUCCGAUUCUCUCUUAAGGACUUAGGCUCUCUCAGUUAUUUUCUGAGAAUUGAAGCACAUCGCACUGCUGAGGGGAUCCUUCUCACGCAACAAAAAAUACAUCACAGACUUGUUAACUCAUACUUAAAUCCAGCCUUAACUCCGAUGGCCUCCAAUUGUCACUUGCAACUUACUUCUGGUACACCUCUCACUGAAGCUUGCAUUAUCUUCAUUUUACAAGAUCAGAUGUGGCUUUUUCUGUGAACAAGUUGUCACAAUUUGUGCAUCGUCUGUCGGAUAAACAGUGGCAGGCAGCAAAACGUGUUCUCCGCUAUCUCUCUGAAACUCGCGAUCAAGGCAUCUUUCUUCGCAGCAACAACACUCUCAACCUUCAUGCCUUCGCGGACUCCGACUGGUCGGGAAAUUGGGAUGAUUAUACUUCAACAAGAGCGUACAUUGUUUAUCUUGGCUCUCAUCAUGUGGUCUGGUCCUCAAAGUAACAAAAGACUGUUGCUCGUUCUUUAGCUGAAGCUGAGUACAGGUCUAUAGCUGACACUGCCGCUGAAGUGUUCUGGAUGUCGUAUCUUCUGUCUGAACUGGGAGUCUCUACUGCAUCUCAACCUGUCAAUUUUUUUUUGACAAUGUGGGUGCUAUAUAUCUUGUCGCAGACCAUGUUUUUCACUCUCGCAUGAAGCACGUGGCGCUUGAGUAUCAUUUUGUUCCUCAAAUGGUUCAGUCACAGUUUCUCAGAGUCACUAAUGUAUCUUCUAAAGAUCAGCUAGCCGAUGCACUUACUAAACCGCUACCUCGUCUGCGUUUACGACAACUCAAUUCCAAGAUUGGGCUCUCAUCCGGUCGCUCAUCUUGCGGAGGCGUAUAGGGGAUAAAUACGGGAGUAUUCUAGUUCCUUUUAUAUAGAAGUAUCUUGUAUAUUGAUAGAGUAUAUGCUCUGUAUAUAAGCUCUAGAGAUCCUACGUGAGCUCUCUCGUAUAUAUAUAUUGUAUUCCUCUCUAUUAUCAAUACAACACAUUACCCAUAUCUCUCUACGUCUUUUUGAGAACAGAUCAGUAACACCUGCGCCGGAAAGAGUCCUUAAGGCAGUUCUUGGAGCCCUCGUAUGGCAGUCUCCUCAAGCUGAGGUACGACAGAACAGGCCUCCUCUUCACAUCUCAGCUCCACUUCUCCUUGCAAUACCACCCGAAACAAAUUACGCAGAGUACAUGAGAAGCAACGACAGCAUGUGUGACAGCCAUGGAGGAUGAGCUUAACCAGAUCGGAAGGGAAAAUAGAAAAAAGAGUGUAAUCCAUGUACUUGUAGAGGUCAGGGUAGUUAUGUCAAGCAUAAGCUAUGAGGAUAACUUAGAGUAGAUGAGGAGAUCUUUCGACGCGGAGGAGAAGACGAUGGAAGGCUGGAAGCAGUUGAAGUGGAUUUUUUUUGCUGGUGGUUUGUGAGGUGGCUGAUGGCUGUGUGGAUUGUGUGGAGCUGACAGAGGAGGUGGUCAUGGACAGAAGGGACAAAGGUCGGUGAGGAUUUAGAAUGGAAGAAAUUGGUGGCGGAAGAGAUGAUGUUUGUAGCUACCAUGACUAUUACUAGAAGCAGAUUCAAGCUUUAUGGGCUUGAGCGGAGGAGAUUUGGAAAGUUUAGUGAAGUCACAGAGGAGAGCGAAUUCCAAAAUCCAGCUCCGGUGAACAAGGCAAUUAAUCCAUCAAGAAGGUUCGAAUUGAGACUGAAGUUGAGAGCAGUGAGAUUUUGAAGCUUGAGCGGAGAUAUGGGAUUGUGGUGGAGUCGCUGAGGAGAUCUGAGUUCCGACGAGACUAAUUAUGGCGACUUAGGAAGGUGGUUAUAGAUAUGAAGAUGGUGGAUACUAAGGUGGUUGCUCGAGACGAGGAUAUGGUGGUGGAUACGGUGGAGGCGGAAGACAGGAGAGUGGAGAUGGUGGUUGAUACCGGAGUGGAAGUUAUGAUGGUUAUGGAUACAAAGGCUGUGGAUACGAAAGUGGAGACAGAGGUGGAGACUAUGGUGACGAUAUAUACCGUAAAUGAGGUUGUAUGGUUAUGGAUAUGAAGUUCAUGGUUACGGACUUGGAAACAUCACACCUGUCCAUACAUCCUCUUCCCAAACAUUAGUAUUAGCUAUUCAUGUAGACAUCCAAGACCUUGUCCACAAAAACAUUUUCACAAACAAUCACAGUUACACAAUCAUAACCACAUGAACUCGUCCAUAAGAAGACAUCCACCAAAAAAUUGUAUAUGAGAGCAUAUUCACGAGUCUUGUCCAUUAACUAUAUAACCACGAGAAAAUUUGUCCAGAGCGUAGUUAAUUUUUUUUUAAAAAAAUAUAAAACAUAUAUAUAUAUAUAUAUAUAUAUACAAAUGGAUAUCAAAAUGAAAAAGAAAAUAUUUUAUUUUUAUAUAUAUAAACUUUAUACAUUCAUAUAUUGAAAUAGUAAAUAAUGAUAAAUGAAAGAUGAUGGGGGUACAAAAUGUUAGAUUUAAUUAAAAUCAAAUACAUUUUUGUUAUUAGAAAAUGUAAAGGAGAAUAAUUCGUCCGGGAGCUACAGCAGAAAAAAAA